GUCUACGACCAUGCCACCAUGAACACCCCUGAUCCUCUCUGAUCUCAGAAGCUAAGCAGGGUCGGGCCUGGUUAGUACUUGGAUGGGAGACCACCUAGGAAGACCAGGUGCUGUAGGUG
rnacentral:rRNA from 1 species